GGGGGGGACACGCUGGUGGCCUCCCCGUGAGCCAAACCCUUCCCUCUGCCCUCACCCCCCGUGUCGAGCCUGCUCAGCAUCACCCUAUUGAACUCCGCGUACUCGUCGAGGAUCACCGAGAUGUCCCCACCAGGGGGAAGCUUCUGGUUUGGAGAUGCUUUACUUGAUGAGACAGCUGCCUUUGCAAGCUUGUCUACCCUGUGGUAUUCGUGGUCGGAAGCACUGCGCGAGGACUUGUGCUUGCGAUGACUCUGCUGCUCCUUGGCAGAGUCAGUGGAUGAGCUGCAGGACAAAGCGAUCAUCCCGCCGUCCACGGGAAGGAAGGGAGGAAUACAGGAACCCAGAGCCAGACUCUCAUGUUCAGCCGGCAUGAGUUACACACAGUGACGUGGGCAGACCCCUCUGAAUGAACGAAACUCAACAGCAGGAUCCACCCUACACCCUGCCCAUGCAAGAGCACUGGCUAGAACUGCUCCAGGAACCUCCACGUGACAGCACAACCGAGGAAAACUGCCACGUAUCAGGAAGUCUAACAGCAUGUGGCAAUAACAGACCGAGAAAAUUGGAUAAACUGAGCCCAAGUGGCAAAACCAGUCUUGAAAGCCUCCACGAAGAGGAAAAAUAAAGACCAGAGACAGAUCUGAAAAGA